UGGGGAAUAUUGCGCAAUGGGGGAAACCCUGACGCAGCGACGCCGCGUGGAGGAAGAAGGCCUUUGGGUUGUAAACUCCUUUGAUCGGGGACGAAGAUGACGGUACCCGAACAAGAAGCCACGGCUAACUACGUGCCAGGAGCCGCGGUAAUACGUAGGUGGCGAGCGUUGUCCGGAAUUACUGGGUGUAAAGGGCGUGUAGGCGGGGUGCCAAGUCAGGUGUGAAAUACCGGGGCUUAACCUCGGGGGUGCAUCUGAAACUGGUGCUCUUGAGUGCCGGAGUGGAAAGCGGAAUUCCCAGUGUAGCGGUGAAAUGCGUAGAUAUUGGGAGGAACACCAGUGGCGAAGGCGGCUUUCUGGACGGUAACUGACGCUGAGGCGCGAAAGCGUGGGGAGCAAACAGGAUUGGAUACCCUGGUAGUCCACGCUGUAAACGAUGGAUACUAGGUGUAGGAGGUAUCGACCCCUUCUGUGCCGUAGUUAACACAAUAAGUAUCCCACCUGGGGAGUACGG
rnacentral:rRNA from 1 species